rnacentral:piRNA from 1 species
UCAAAAGUGCGAAGCAGAAGUCAAGGGGUGU